AGAGUUUGAUCAUGGCUCAGGACGAACGCUGGCGGCGUGCUUAACACAUGCAAGUCGAGCGGAAAGGCCCUUCGGGGUACUCGAGCGGCGAACGGGUGAGUAACACGUGAGCAACCUGCCCUUAGCUUCGGGAUAGCUCCGGGAAACCGGAAUUAAUACCGGAUAUGACCACGGCCGACAUCGGCCAUGGUGGAAAGUUUUUCGGCUAGGGAUGGACUCGCGGCCUAUCAGCUAGUUGGUGAGGUAACGGCCCACCAAGGCGACGACGGGUAGCCGGCCUGAGAGGGCGACCGGCCACACUGGGACUGAGACACGGCCCAGACUCCUACGGGAGGCAGCAGUGGGGAAUAUUGCGCAAUGGGCGAAAGCCUGACGCAGCGACGCCGCGUGGGGGAUGAAGGCCUUCGGGUUGUAAACCCCUUUCAGCAGGGACGAAGCGAAAGUGACGGUACCUGCAGAAGAAGCGCCGGCUAACUACGUGCCAGCAGCCGCGGUA
rnacentral:rRNA from 1 species